CAUGUACCAGUGGGGUCCCUCGGCCUGGCCUGUGACCUCUCACAAUCUGGGACCCCUCGGGGGAUGUUGGAGAGCCAGUUUCAGCCCGAUCCCACAGGCCAGGCUGAGGGACCCCACUGGUGCAUA
rnacentral:pre_miRNA from 1 species